GAAGGAUCAUUACCGAGUGCGGGUCCUUCGGGGCCCAACCUCCCACCCGUGUCUACCGUACCGUGUUGCUUCGGCGGGCCCGCCGCAAGGCCGCCGGGGGGGCGUCCCCCCGGCCCGUGCCCGCCGGAGACCCUGUGAACGCUGAUCUGUGAAGGCGUGUCGUCUGAGUCGCGUGAGAAAUCGUGAAAACUUUCAACAACGGAUCUCUUGGUUCCGGCAUCGAUGAAGAACGCAGCGAAAUGCGAUAAGUAAUGUGAAUUGCAGAAUUCCGUGAAUCAUCGAAUCUUUGAACGCACAUUGCGCCCUCUGGUAUUCCGGGGGGCAUGCCUGUCCGAGCGUCAUUGCUGCCCUCAAGCACGGCUUGUGUGUUGGGCCGCCGUCCCCGCCCUCCGCGGGGGGACGGGCCCGAAAGGCAGCGGCGGCGCCGCGUCCGGUCCUCGAGCGUAUGGGGCUCUGUCACCCGCUCUGCAGGCCCGGCCGGCGCCCGCCGAGUCAACCACUUCUUUCCAGGUUGACCUCGGAUCAGGUAGGGAUACCCGCUGAACUUAA
rnacentral:rRNA from 1 species